rnacentral:rRNA from 1 species
GCCAGACUCCUACGGGAGGCAGCAGUGGGGAAUAUUGGGCAAUGGGCGCAAGCCUGACCCAGCAACGCCGCGUGAAGGAAGAAGGCUUUCGGGUUGUAAACUUCUUUUAUGAGGGACGAAACAAAUGACGGUACCUCAUGAAUAAGCCACGGCUAACUACGUGCCAGCAGCCGCGGUAAUACGUAGGUGGCAAGCGUUAUCCGGAUUUACUGGGUGUAAAGGGCGUGUAGGCGGGACUGCAAGUCAGAUGUGAAAAUUAUGGGCUCAACCCAUAACCUGCAUUUGAAACUGUAGUUCUUGAGUGAUGGAGAGGCAGGCGGAAUUCCUAGUGUAGCGGUGAAAUGCGUAGAUAUUAGGAGGAACACCAGUGGCGAAGGCGACUUUCUGGACAGUAACUGACGUUGAGGCGCGAAAGUGUGGGGAGCAAACAGGAUUAGAUACCCGAGUA